rnacentral:rRNA from 1 species
UACGAAGGGGGCUAGCGUUGUUCGGAAUUACUGGGCGUAAAGCGCGUGUAGGCGGAUUUUUUAGUCGGGGGUGAAAUCCCAGAGCUCAACUCUGGAACUGCCUUCGAUACUGGGAAUCUGGACCCAAGUAGAGGCGAGUGGAAUUGCGAGUGUAGAGGUGAAAUUCGUAGAUAUUCGCAGGAACACCAGUGGCGAAGGCGACUCGCUGGACUUGUGGUGACGCUGAGACGCGAAAGCGUGGGUAGCAAACAGG